UAAAAUUCUCUCUGCUCUUAAAACACUCUCAACCUAACCAUAAUAUUCAACCGUCGAUCUCUCAUCUCCAGCCAUCUCUGGUGACCUCCUAUCGUCUCUUAAGCCUCCAAUGGCUUCUCACAUGCCAUGAAUGCCUUCUCUAAGGCCUUCAAGGGCCCAGAGCCAUGCUGACUUGCACCCAGGGUUCAUCUAUUGCAUGUUCUCGGCUAUUCCAGUCUGAUUUCAAGCAAAAUCAUUCAAUAUUUUCUAUGAUCCUUGGGUUUCUGGACAGGUUUCUUCAUCUCUAUAUGGGUUCUUUUGAAACCCUAAUUUACUUUCUAUACCUCCUAGAUAUGUACAGAUCUAGGAUGAUUUAAGUUUUUUUUUGAAUGUUUU
rnacentral:lncRNA from 1 species